UACGAAGGGGGCUAGCGUUGCUCGGAAUCACUGGGCGUAAAGGGCGCGUAGGCGGAUCUUUAAGUCGGGGGUGAAAGCCUGUGGCUCAACCACAGAAUUGCCUUCGAUACUGGGGAUCUCGAGACCGGAAGAGGUGAGUGGAACUGCGAGUGUAGAGGUGAAAUUCGUAGAUAUUCGCAAGAACACCAGUGGCGAAGGCGGCUCACUGGCCCGGUACUGACGCUGAGGUGCGAAAGCGUGGGGAGCAAACAGG
rnacentral:rRNA from 1 species